GCCGAGCUCAGUAGCGUGGGCUUGUAACUCAAGUGAGGGCAUUAGUGUGGUGGAAUGUUGAGCAUGUUCAGAAGGUAGGGCUUGUGUAACAAUUCUCUGGCCUGCCCUGUCCAAGCACAGAGUUGGGUCUUGUGGUCCAAGCGAAGGCUUGGGCUGCUGGGCUCCUAAAGUGGGGUGGACUGCGUGAGGCUGGUUUCACAGAGCAACGAAUAGCUCCCGCUCUGUGCAGUGGAAGGAUAACAGGCCAGUGUCAUACAAGUUCAUUUGAAUGUCUGAUGGGCUGCUCUAAUUAAACCACCACGUUU
rnacentral:SRP_RNA from 2 species